GAGGCUAUGGCUCAGUGGUAGAGCAUAUACCUUGCACAAGUAAGGCACUGGGUUCAAUCCUCAGCACCACA
rnacentral:tRNA from 1 species